UACGAGGGGAGCAAGCGUUGUCCGGAUUUAUUGGGCGUAAAGAGCGUGUAGGCGGCCAGAUAGGUCAGCUGUGAAAACCCGGGGCUCAACUCCGGGCUUGCAGUGGAUACGGGCAGACUAGAGUUCGGUAGGGGAGACUGGAAUUCCUGGUGUAGCGGUGAAAUGCGCAGAUAUCAGGAGGAACACCGGUGGCGAAGGCGGGUCUCUGGGCCGAUACUGACGCUGAGGAGCGAAAGCGUGGGGAGCGAACAGG
rnacentral:rRNA from 1 species